rnacentral:rRNA from 1 species
ACGAACGCUGGCGGCGUGCUUAACACAUGCAAGUCGCACGGAAAGGCCCUGCUUGCAGGGUGCUCGAGUGGCGAACGGGUGAGUAACACGUGGGUGAUCUGCCCCUUAUUUUGGGAUAAGCCUGGGAAACUGGGUCUAAUACUGGAUAGGACCAUGCUGUAGGUGGUGUGGUGGAAAGAUUAGUUUCGGUAAGGGAUGAGCUCGCGGCCUAUCAGCUUGUUGGUGGGGUAAUGGCCUACCAAGGCGUCGACGGGUAGCCGGCCUGAGAGGGUGGACGGCCACAUUGGGACUGAGAUACGGCCCAGACUCCUACGGGAGGCAGCAGUGGGGAAUAUUGCACAAUGGGCGCAAGCCUGAUGCAGCGACGCCGCGUGGGGGAUGACGGCCUUCGGGUUGUAAACUCCUUUCAGCCAUGACGAAGCCCUUGUGGUGACGGUAGUGGUAGAAGAAGCACCGGCUAACUACGUG